rnacentral:rRNA from 1 species
GACGAACGCUGGCGGCGCGCCUAACACAUGCAAGUCGAACGAGCGAGAGAGAGCUUGCUUUCUCGAGCGAGUGGCGAACGGGUGAGUAACGCGUGAGGAACCUGCCUCAAAGAGGGGGACAACAGUUGGAAACGACUGCUAAUACCGCAUAAGCCCACGGUGCCGCAUGGCACAGAGGGAAAAGGAGCAAUCCGCUUUGAGAUGGCCUCGCGUCCGAUUAGCUAGGUGGUGAGGUAAUGGCCCACCAAGGCGACGAUCGGUAGCCGGACUGAGGGGUUGAACGGCCACAUUGGGACUGCGACACGGCCCAGACUCCUACGGGAGGCAGCAGUGGGGAAUAUUGCACGAUGGGGGAAACCCUGAUGCAGCGACGCCGCGUGGAGGAAGAAGGUCUUCGGAUUGUAAACUCCUGUUGUUGGGGAAGAUAAUGACGGUACCCAACAAGGAAGUGACGGCUAACUACGUG